CACUGUCAUGUACUGUAAAAAAAAUAAUUCUGUUAAAUUUACAGUAAAAAAAAAAUGUCAUAAACUUGAUAUUAACCUUCUGAAACUGUAAAAAUCUGCUUUUUACUUUAUAAGGUAUUGUUAAUCACCAUACAAAAUACAGAAGAGCACAUGAUGACAUGAAGUUCACCAAUAGUGGCUCUUCCAGGAGCAAAAAACAAAAAACACGAAGAGACAGUGCUCAGUGUCACUCACACAAACACUAAACACCAUCAGAGUAACACAUGUGAAAUUUAAAUAAUGCAGUAAACAUUAACUAAACUACAUUAAAUAUAAAACAGAACACCCCAAUGUAUGUAACUGAUAUUAAAAAUAAGAAGAAACAUAACUAUUCCCAUCAAAUAUAAUGAAAUAUGAUGGGUCAUGCAGGGAAUUGUGGGAAUGCCCGAUUAUUGUUUUUUACUGUAAUUUUAACAAUAAUUUGCUAUAUAUAAUGUUUACCACUGCAUCCUACAAACAAAGGGACUCAACGGAGCUCAGAAUGGAGCCUACAUAAGGUGAGUUGUUUAUUUGUAUUUCUCAAACUACACAUGAUGUUCAUCCAUUCAUUUAAGUACAAAUUUACAAACACUGUAAUUAAUAUUUAUAUGAUGGCCUGAUGCCCUUUAUCAUAGUGCUAUUAGACUGUUUACAAAACUGAGCAUGCACAUUUCUCAUUGAAGCCUGAAGUAAGUUUAAUUAGAAAUUAGGUCUACAUGGAACAUGCAACGCAAUUCAGUAAAUAUGUGAUUCUAUAUGGCUACAUGAACACAUCACUUUAUUAAUGCCUUCAUAUCAGGUGACAGAGAUUGAUAAUGGGUCAGAAUGACCAUCACAAUUUUUUUUUUUUUUUUUUUUUUUGGCUGUAUGCUCUUUUAUAAUGUGUUUCUUAUUUAAAGACAAAACUGAUGUCUGCUUGAAGAUGAAUAACAUACUGAAACACUAAAAACCAAACAUUUACAACAAAAGGGGAUUUCCCAUCUUUAGGUGAGAUUUUGCUAUGCAUAUUUGAAUGCUUUUGUCAAUUGAAAGUCUAUAUCUGAUUAUGUCUUUUAACUCAAGCAUUAUUAAUGGUGAUUUAGUCAUUCCUAAAAAGAGAAUGGAACUAAAGAUACGAGGGUUAGUUUAAAAUCAGUGUAGUUUUGAUUUUAUAAUCUGGCAACUCGUAUUGAUACUUUUCAGAUAAGACUGCAUGUUAGUGUUUGUAGUUUUUUUAUGUUGACAGGCCAUGUUUUAAGUAUUUACUGUAGACUGGGGAUCAGUGGCAGAAUCAAUGUUAAGGACACAUUUGUGGUGUUCACCCUUCUCCAUUUGAAACGUUGAAAAGUAUUUAUAUGUUGUUAGCAGACACUAUGUACCUGGUGUUUGGGUGAAGGAUGGUGUGUGCUUCUGGCCUCCAUAUAAAAGUGAAGAAAUUCAGAGGGCAACAACAUCUUUGGAGGGACCUCAAGACUGUUAUAGCGAAUCACGACAGAAGCUGCCUCUGACAGAGCUGCAGGCUGAAUGCAGAGAUGGAUUUGUUGAUGCCACUAAAAAGGAAAACCAAGUAAGAUUACGAAUCUGGUGCUUGCUUGAUGAUUAUGAGUGUGAUGGGGAGGUCUACAUUCCACACAAGAGUGUGUUAUUUCAAGUUCCUCAAAUAACACAAGUAUUCAAAAGAAGUGGUUCUUUAGUGACACAACAGCUCAUCUGUCUCCAGAUGCAACUUCAACGCCAUCCAUGAGGCAACUAAGUCCUGUUGUGAGCUGAGUUCCUGCUAAGACCUGAUGCCGUGAUCCAUUCUUAAGAUGUUCAAUUGUUUUUGCUAGUUUCAUAACAUUCAUUCAAUUGCCAUCAUAGUUUCAGAAUAACUCAUUAUACCAGAAAGAGUGAUAUAUUAACCUUAUUACUGGGUCAAAUGUUUAAUCACUGCUACAUGAGAUAGCAAAACAGGAAAUAAUGAUGGAGCAAAGGAGGAACCAAAUGAUCAGCAGUCAAACAACAUCACAGAUAUCACAGCUGUUAAUCGUUUGGAGCAAAGUGUCUUCCCAUUGAGGACUUCGCUUCGAUCCAGUCCAGAAACACGAAUGGUGUACUUGGACUAGGUUUGUUGGGUGACGUUGACAUAAAUGAAGUCUGGAGAAUAAUGAAGCAGACCAUAAAAAAAGAUUUAGCUAAAAUGGUCCAACUAGAGAGGUGUGAAUAGGAUGAAGCCUGGAUCUGAAGACGGGUGUGAUUGGCUGUUAGAAGAAAUCCAAAGUAGUGCCAUCUCACAGAAGCACAAAAUCACUUUUUCGGACUUUGUCUUCCACUGUUUCUUCCACACUGGUGGAAAGACGUUCCGAACUCCACUCGAGCAGCUGAUACUCUAGCUACUUUCAAGAAACGUGUGAAGAUGCAUCUCUUUCGUGAGCACUUGACCCAGUCCUACUAAUGCUACUAAAAAAAAACACUGUCUCUCUCCUUCCUCCCUACGUGUUCUUCUCUGAGCAAUUUGAAACUUUGUAUUGCAGCACUUCUCAUGUUAUUGCCUAAUAAGGAUGAAUAACUUUUGCUGUAUUCUUAAUUUGUAAAUGACUUUGGAUUAAAGUGUCUGCUAAAUGAAUAAAUGUGAAUGUAAACAAGGGGACCGAGACAAGCACUCUACAAUAAACAGCAUGUGAACAUAUACAGGAAAACUCUAAUAUCAAAACAGUCAUUUUGAAUGAACGCUUAUAAACUUGUUUCUUUUAUUUUUAGGUUUCUUUUAACAGUUCAGUUAAAUAAACUUUUUUUAUUAUUAUUAUUAUUUAUAGAUUUAUUGCUUGUUUCAGUUCUGUUGUCUUUUGCAACUUAUUUGAUUGUUCAUCAUUUGUAUGUUUAUUGCUUGCUUUUGUAAUAUUAAUGUAUCCAUUACAUAGUUUACAUUUGUAUAUUUUACUAUUUUCUUUAGGUAUUUUUAUUUAUUUAUUUUAUGUUGAACAAUUUUACAUUUAUUUUACAUUUAUUGCUUGCUUUUAUUAUAUUUUCUUUCUGCAACUUUUUUUUAUCAUUUACAUAUUUUUACACAGUAAAGAUUUGAGUAUGUAUAUUUUUUUCCAUGAGGGUUGCAAUUAUGUUGGCAAAUGUAUGACAUCCUGAAUUAAACCUGAAUAAAUAAAACAAAAU